AUUUGUCCACCUCUCCUGGAUACUCAUGUUUUGCUCAUAUAGACUGCUGAUGUAAAAAUGAUGCAGCUGGACUGGGCAUAGUGGCUCACGCCUUUAAUUCCAGCA